rnacentral:lncRNA from 1 species
CUAUGUUUUGAUAUAGUUAUAAAGCCAGCAAAUACGAAUAUCUCAUAAAACUAGUAAAUGCACAGGGUAAUAAAUAAAUACGGACGUCAAAUCUGUUGUCUGUUCUCUCUUGGUAGCGUGAAUAAAUAAUCAAUAGUAAAACAAUGAUACGUUUAUUAAACAUCUAGAACUGCCGAUAUAUUUCCAUACAAGUACAAUAUUCCAACAAUAAUAUAUAAUAAACAUAUACCGGGCGAAGAUACUUAAAUAAUAUUCUUACUUGUAUUUUCGUACGGGUCAAACGGGAUUAUCUUAAAUAUAACAAUGACAAUAUAAAUAAAAUGCAAAGCAUACAGCUAUCUGCGCUGCUUCUUACCUCUAAAUUAUAACCCUUACUUGUAAUAUAAAAUGCGAGGGAUACAGCUAAUGCGCUGCUUCUUACCUCUAGGAACCCCCGGGACGAGCCUUGCUGCAAGCCAAAAGUAAACACAGCAAAGACUGACGAACGUGACGUUGCACUCGUAUUUAUUUUAAAUUACCGGAAGUAAAUAUUCUAAGCAGGAAGAAAAACAACGUAAAACGCUUACAUAAAAUAUAGGAGUCCUCGACUCAAAAUGCUUAUAAUAAUACAACCUUAUAAAUAAACAAAUCUAGACAUAUCAAUUCUUCCAGUUAAUAACUCAUAAAUGAACACUUUUGGGUUCACGCUUAAAAUAUUGACCCAACGGUAACGUUCUGAACAAUGCAUGACGAAGUUGCGCCAUAUAGGACGUUAUCGAUACAGCUAAUAACAUAAAGUAAAACGUACGUUAAUUACUCGUUCAAUAUACUAAAUACUAGAAAUAACUUCAGACAACUGAUAUAAACUCUCUUAAUACAAUAAUAACAAUAUUCCUUUACUUGGAAAUAACCAAUAUACACAUUUACAACACUGCCCCUCCCCCAGAAUACAUUUCGUCCUUGAAAUAUGGUCCUCAGUGUCAAUUCUGAGAGUACAUUUAAAAUUCUUUUCACAUCAAUCCUCUAUCAUACAAAUAAAACAUUUUUUUGCUCAUCCCCAAUUUAUAAAAAACAAACAAAUAUUUAAGCUAACUUUAAACUUAAACAUACAUCAACAAACUACUGCGCCUGUCAAUGUCAUCUUAAAAAAAAACAAUAUCUGCGUCAACAAACUAAUGCGCCUGUUUAUUCUUAAAAGGCAAAAUAUACAUUUCAACUAAUUAAAAAUUUCCUUCAAUGUAUAAAUAUCUUCUCUUAUGCUAAUAUAACAAUAAAGUAUCUCAUGAAAAAAUGAAAGUUCUAUUUUUUCAUCCAGUUAGAGCACUAAUAUACUCUAUUAAAAGUUCAAUCCAAGAUUCUCUAUUCUAUCAGACGCUGGAAUUAUAACUUCUUCUAAACACCCGGCUAUAAACUAUAAGCCGGCAGAUGUCCUAUCAAGUACUAUACCACAGUCAAGGGUACCACCGUGUAUAAAUAUAUACACAACCUCGAUACUGAUGCACCAUGCAAACAUAAGUAAAAAAAUUAGUACAAAAGAAUAAAAAAAAUGGUCAUCAGUAUUCCCCGAGAAAUAUCUAAAAUGGUGUAGACUAUAGCUCAGCAUACCCAUGGUGUCACCUAAAUGUAUAUUGCAAUCAAGACUAAUCAUUAGCCUUAACUUAUUCUCGCACCAAAAUAAAAAUGGCACCUAAAGUAU